GAUGAACGCUAGCGGGAGGCCUAACACAUGCAAGCCGAGCGGUAUAGAAUCUUCGGAUUUUAGAGAGCGGCGUACGGGUGCGGAACACGUGUGCAACCUACCUUUAUCUUGGGGAUAGCCUUUCGAAAGGAAGAUUAAAUACCCCGAUAAUAUAUAAUAUGGCAUCAUAACAUAUUGAAAGCUCCGGCGGAUAGAGAUGGGCACGCGCAAGAUUAGUUAGUUGGUGAGGUAACGGCUCACCAAGACGAUGAUCUUUAGGGGCCUGAGAGGUGAUCCCCCACACUGGUACUGAGACACGGACCAGACUCCUACGGGAGGCAGCAGUGAGGAAUAUUGGGACAAAUGGGUGCAAGCCUGAUCCAGCCAUCCCGCGUGAAGGACGACUG
rnacentral:rRNA from 1 species